rnacentral:SRP_RNA from 2 species
GCUGGGCGUGGUGGCUCACGCCUGUAAUCCCAGCACUUUGGGAGGCCGAGGUGGGUGGAUCACCUGAGGUCAGGAGUUCGAGACCAGCCUGGCCAACAUGGUGAAACCCUGUCUCUA